GAUGAACGCUGGCGGCGUGCCUAAUACAUGCAAGUCGAGCGAACGGACGAGAAGCUUGCUUCUCUGAUGUUAGCGGCGGACGGGUGAGUAACACGUGGAUAACCUACCUAUAAGACUGGGAUAACUUCGGGAAACCGGAGCUAAUACCGGAUAAUAUUUUGAACAGCAUGGUUCAAAAGUGAAAGACGGUCUUGCUGUCACUUAUAGAUGGAUCCGCGCUGCAUUAGCUAGUUGGUAAGGUAACGGCUUACCAAGGCAACGAUACAUAGCCGACCUGUGAGGAGGGGCGGCUCCACUACAACUGAGACGCGGCACAGACCAAACUGGUAGGGGGGAGUGGGGUGUGGUACGGAAGGCAAGAGACCAUAACGGGGAAAAGCCGAGUGAGUGGUAGAGUUACUGGGAUCUGAGAACUCUGCUAUUAGUGAAGAACAAAAGAGUAAGGUAUUCAGCACCCCUUGAAGGUACCUAAUGAGAAAGCAACGGCUAACUACGUG
rnacentral:rRNA from 1 species